UCAGGACGAACGCUGGCGGCGUGCUUAACACAUGCAAGUCGAACGGGGAUAGCGUUGGAAGUCCUUCGGGGUGGAAGAUGCUAUUCGAGUGGCGGACGGGUGAGUAACGCGUGAACAAUCUGUCCCAGACAGGGGGAUAACACUUGGAAACAGGUGCUAAUACCGCAUAAGACCACGGUGUCGCAUGGCACAGGGGGUAAAAGGAGCGAUCCGGUUUGGGGUGAGUUCGCGUCCGAUUAGCCAGUUGGCGGGGUAACGGCCCACCAAAGCGACGAUCGGUAGCCGAUCUGAGAGGAUGACCGGCCACAUUGGAACUGAGAGACGGUCCAAACUCCUACGGGAGGCAGCAGUGGGGAAUAUUGGGCAAUGGGCGAAAGCCCUGACCCAGCAACGCCGCGUGAGUGAAGAAGGCCUUCGGGUUGUAAAGCUCUGUUAUAGGGGACGAAGGAAGUGACGGUACCCUAUAAGGAAGCCCCGGCUAACUACGUGCCAGCAGCCGC
rnacentral:rRNA from 1 species